rnacentral:rRNA from 1 species
ACGGUAACAGGAAGAAGCUUGCUUCUUUGCUGACGAGUGGCGGACGGGUGAGUAAUGUCUGGGAAACUGCCUGAUGGAGGGGGAUAACUACUGGAAACGGUAGCUAAUACCGCAUAACGUCGCAAGACCAAAGAGGGGGACCUUCGGGUCCUCUUGCCAUACGGAUGUGCCCAGAUGGGAUUAGCUAGUAGGUGGGGUAACGGCUCACCUAGGCGACGAUCCCUAGCUGGUCUGAGAGGAUGACCAGCCACACUGGAACUGAGACACGGUCCAGACUCCUACGGGAGGCAGCAGUGGGGAAUAUUGCACAAUGGGCGCAAGCCUGAUGCAGCCAUGCCGCGUGUAUGAAGAAGGCCUUCGGGUUGUAAAGUACUUUCAGCGGGGAGGAAGGGAGUAAAGUUAAUACCUUUGCUCAUUGACGUUACCCGCAGAAGAAGCACCGGCUAACUCCGUGCCAGCAGCCGCGGUAAUACGGAGGGUGCAAGCGUUAAUCGGAAUUACUGGGCGUAAAGCGCACGCAGGCGGUUUGUUAAGUCAGAUGUGAAAUCCCCGGGCUCAACCUGGGAACUGCAUCUGAUACUGGCAAGCUUGAGUCUCGUAGAGGGGGGUA